rnacentral:rRNA from 1 species
CAGCACCUCAAGUGGUCAGGAUGAUUAUUGGGCCUAAAGCAUCCGUAGCCGGCGCUGUAAGUUUUCGGUUAAAUCCAUACGCUUAACGUAUGGGCUGCCGGGAAUACUGCAAAGCUAGGGAGUGGGAGAGGUAGACGGUACUCGGUAGGAAGGGGUAAAAUCCUUUGAUCUAUUGAUGACCACCUGUGGCGAAGGCGGUCUACCAGAACACGUCCGACGGUGAGGGAUGAAAGCUGGGGGAGCAAACCGGAUUAGAUACCCGAGUAGUCC